GGGUGCGAUCAUACCAGCAGUAAUACACCGGAUCCCAUUAGAACUCCGAAGUUAAGCGUGUUUGGGUGAGACUAAUACAGUAUAUAUAUAUAUAUAUAUAUAUAUAUAUAUAUAUAUAGGGGGCUUCUC
rnacentral:rRNA from 1 species